GGUAUUACAUAAUGGUAAAGAGUUUGAUUCAACAAGAAGACCUUACUAUCCAAAAUUUAUAUUCAUGAACACAGGAGCACCUAAAUUCAUAAAGCAAGCUCUUAGAUCCUGACAAAUAAAUUUAGAUAACCACACAAUGAUAGUGGGAGACUUCAACACCUGACUGACAGUAUUAAGUAGAUUAUCAAAGUAGAAAACUAACGUAGAUAUUUGGGACCAGAACUUGAAACCCAACCAGGUGAGCCUAAUAGACAUCUAUAGAACUCUUUAAUGAAAACCAGCAGAAUAUAGAUUAUUCUCAUCACCACAUUGCACUGCUUCUAAAAUCAACCACAAAAUGGAAGUAAAACACUCCUCAGGAAAUGCAAAAGAAUGAAAA